rnacentral:rRNA from 1 species
UACGUAGGGGGCUAGCGUUAUCCGGAAUUACUGGGCGUAAAGGGUGCGUAGGUGGUUUCUUAAGUCAGGGGUGAAAGGCUACGGCUCAACCGUAGUAAGCCUUUGAAACUGAGAAACUUGAGUGCAGGAGAGGAGAGUAGAAUUCCUAGUGUAGCGGUGAAAUGCGUAGAUAUUAGGAGGAAUACCAGUUGCGAAGGCGGCUCUCUGGACUGUAACUGACACUGAGGCACGAAAGCGUGGGGAGCAAACAGGAUUAGAUACCCUGGUAGUCCCUGAG